GACAGAGGGUGCAAACGUUGUUCGGAAUUACUGGGCGUAAAGCGAGUGUAGGCGGUUUGGUAAGUCGGAUGUGAAAGCCCCGGGCUCAACCCGGGAAGUGCACUCGAUACUGCCAAGCUAGAGUAUCGGAGAGGUUGGUGGAAUUCUCGGUGUAGAGGUGAAAUUCGUAGAUAUCGAGAGGAACACCGGUGGCGAAAGGCGGCCAAACUGGGACGGAAAUACUGACGCUAAGACUCGAAAGCGUGGGGAGCAAACAGG
rnacentral:rRNA from 1 species